rnacentral:lncRNA from 1 species
GAACCAAACCAGUAAUCCCUACUUCGACCAGCAAUCAUAGUGUGCAGCUUCAAUUAGCAGUACUGCACUCUAGACAUGCCCUGUUCCAUUGAUCAAACCACUGCGCGUGUCCGGUGACCACCUCGACAACACCUCGGCUUCACGUGGCCAGGCGGUUACGGUAUGACUCAAUCCCUAAGACUUGAUGUUCUAGCAUCCUCAUACAUUGGUGAAGCUCACCAAAAAGUCCGGUUGAUCUUUACAAUCCUAGUUUGAUCGGAACGCGGGUUUGAUGCCGCAUGAACUGCUCUGAUGUCAACCCACCAAAACUUUGUCGGUUCGAUGUCGAUUUUCGUAAGCAUCGUGUCGACCGUGUCUUGCUCGUACUCCCCGUUCCCUUAAUUUGAUGUGUCCGACACUCAAAUUGGCCAGGCAUAUACCACGAACUUGGAUUCCAUCGUGGGCGCGGUCAAGUCGCUCUGGGAGUUUGUGAGCCAAAUCCAUGCCCGUAAUUGUUUGGAUUAGGUUAAGAUUUGAUCUGGCCGCUGUCCGAAGACUGCUCGGGCUCUCCUCCGCCGUAGGAUCGCGGGGGGACGCGUUCGCGCCGCCGGCGACGUCGGGAACUCAAUUUGUAAAGGCAAGAAACAUAGAAGGGGCCAGAAGUAAAGUGUUAGUGACUCGAUGGGUGUUGAAGGGUUGUGCCCGGGUUGUGUUGGCCGCGGACAUGUCUCAGUAGUAGUUGGGGGACGCUGAAGAGCAGCGCCGACGUGGUCGUAGGCGCCAGGUCGCCGGAGUAGCGCGACGGGCAUCUGGUUCGAGUUCUUCUGAAGUUGGUUGUGAAGCCGGGUUGGAUGUGUUAAAUCAAGAUCUCUCUAAGUGAAGUUAGUUAUAGGAUUUUUAGUGUAGUUUUUGGGCUGUUUGGAAGCCUUUUUGACCUGAAAGCCUUGCAAGGUCCAAAAAUAGUUAUUAAAUCCUUACUUAAUUAUGGAACUAAGUGCUUUUGGGGCAGAGGCAUGUUGAACUAGUGAGAUCUUGACCCUUGGAUGAAGUUACUUAUGGAGUUUUAAGCUUUUGCUUGAGACCUUGGUUGGGGUAAUUCCCUGGUUUACCUAAGUGAUUUCAAAUUGGUCACUUUAAACGAGCAAUAAGAAAUAGGUAUAUUCUUGUUAUGUGCUUUAGUUGUAGUGUUUCUGUUCUCCACCUCUCCUUGUAAGAGUUUGCAUUACAUGGCAUUCAUUCUUAUAUAUACCUAUAUGGUUAUAUUUAGAACGCGAAGAAGAAGUGGAAGUCCCUGAAGAGAAGACAACACCACCUUUGGAGUCUCAGGCAGGGUCUCGUCUCUACUUUAACAUCUGCGAGUCCGAGCCUGACUCAUCUAUAAACAAAGGCAAGCCCCGGUGCAUGCAACCCCUUUCCUUGUGUUU